GUGCUUGCUUCAGCUGCACACAUGCUGAAAUUGGAACAAUAUAGAGAAGGUUAGUAUGGUCCCUUCACAAGGAUGACACACGAAGCAUUCCAUAUUAAA
rnacentral:snRNA from 1 species